rnacentral:rRNA from 1 species
GACGUAGGGCGCGAGCGUUGUCCGGAUUUAUUGGGCGUAAAGAGCUCGUAGGCGGCUUGUUGCGUCGACCGUGAAAACCCGGGGCUCAACUUCGGGCUUGCGGUCGAUACGGGCGAGCUAGAGUUCGGUAGGGGAGACUGGAAUUCCUGGUGUAGCGGUGAAAUGCGCAGAUAUCAGGAGGAACACCGGUGGCGAAGGCGGGUCUCUGGGCCGAUACUGACGCUGAGGAGCGAAAGCAUGGGGAGCGAACGGG